CUGUGCCCUGAUAGCAUCAUUCACAGCCACAUCCUCCCCUUCAGAAGUCCUGACUGCACAGCCCUUCACCAUGGACUGUAACUGGAGAGCCCUCUUCCUGCUGGCAGUGGCUACAGGUGUUCACUCACAGGUGCAGCUGGUGCAAUCUGGGGCUGAGGUGAGGAAGCCUGGGGCUUCAGUGAAGGUCUCCUGCAAGGCUUCUGGAUACACUUUCACCAGCUACUGGAUGCACUGGGUGCGACAGGCCCCAGGACAAGGGCUUGAGUGGAUGGGGAGAAUUUACCCUGGAGAUAGUGACACAAAUUAUGCGCAGAAGUUCCAGGGCCGAGUCACCAUAACCGCAGACAAGUCUGUGAGCACAGCCUACAUGGAACUGAGCAGCCUGAGAGCCGAGGACACAGCUGUGUAUUAUUGUGCAAGAGACACAGUGAGGGGAAGUCAGCAUGAGCCCAGACAAAAACCUCUUUGA